UGAAAGAUAUCUGCACAUCCACUUU
rnacentral:piRNA from 1 species